GAAAUGCGAUAAGUAGUGUGAAUUGCAGAAUUCAGUGAAUCAUCGAAUCUUUGAACGCACAUUGCGCCCUUUGGUAUCCCAAAGGGCAUGCCUGUUCGAGCGUCAUUUGUACCCUCAAGCUUUGCUUGGUGUUGGGCGUCUUGUCUCUAGCUUUGCUGGAGACUCGCCUUAAAGUAAUUGGCAGCCGGCCUACUGGUUUCGGAGCGCAGCACAAGUCGCACUCUCUAUCAGCAAAGGUCUAGCAUCCAUUAAGCCUUUUUUUCAACUUUUGACCUCGGAUCAGGUAGGGAUACCCGCUGAACUUAAGC
rnacentral:misc_RNA from 1 species